CAGCAGUGGGGAAUAUUGCACAAUGGGCGCAAGCCUGAUGCAGCAACGCCGUGUGAGUGAAGAAGGUUUUCGGAUCGUAAAACUCUGUCCUAAGGGAAGAAACAAAUGACGGUACCUUAGGAGGAAGCCCCGGCUAACUACGUGCCAGCAGCCGCGGUAAUACGUAGGGGGCAAGCGUUAUCCGGAAUCACUGGGCGUAAAGGGUGCGUAGGCGGCUUAGCAAGCCAGGGGUGAAAGGCAUUGGCUCAACCAAUGUAAGCCUUUGGAACUGUUAAGCUUGAGUGCAGGAGAGGUAAGUGGAAUUCCUAGUGUAGAGGUGAAAUUCGUAGAUAUUAGGAGGAACACCAGUGGCGAAGGCGACUUACUGGACUGUAACUGACGCUGAUGCACGAAAGCGUGGGUAGCGAACAGGAUUAGAUACCCUGGUAG
rnacentral:rRNA from 1 species